UACAGAGGUCCCAAGCGUUGUUCGGAUUCACUGGGCGUAAAGGGUGCGUAGGCGGUCGGGUAAGUUUGAUGUGAAAUCUCGCAGCUUAACUGCGAAACUGCAUUGAAUACUAUCCGGCUUGAGGAAUGGAGGGGAGACUGGAAUACUUGGUGUAGCAGUGAAAUGCGUAGAUAUCGAGUGGAACACCAGUGGCGAAGGCGAGUCUCUGGACAUUUCCUGACGCUGAGGCACGAAAGCCAGGGGAGCAAACGGG
rnacentral:rRNA from 1 species